GUCACCGGACAGAAGUCACCAGGGCAGGAGACGCUCUGACUUUCUGAGAGGCAUGAAUUGACCUUCCGCCCUUCACCAGCUUCCUGAGAUAGCUUCCUGAAAAGUUACACUGCUUCAGGAUACAAGAGAGAUCCUACAUGAAGCAAUCGUAAACUGGAUUUUGGCACCAAUUACUUGUUUCUCCAAAGCAAUAAAAAAAAAACUCAAGGGCUUCCAUGGACACAUGGACAUGACAGACUAAUUGAAAGAGGAAAGCACGUAAUAGUGGAUCAAC
rnacentral:lncRNA from 1 species